AUUGAACGCUGGCGGCAGGCUUAACACAUGCAAGUCGAACGGUARCASGRAUKAGCUUGCUMMUUKGCUGACGAGUGGCGGACGGGUGAGUAAUGCUUGGGAAUCUGGCUYAUGGAGGGGGAUAACUACGGGAAACUGUAGCUAAUACCGCGUAAUAUCUUWGGAUUAAAGUGUGGGACCGCAAGGCCACAUGCCAUGAGAUGAGCCCAAGUGGGAUUAGGUAGUUGGUGGGGUAAAGGCCUACCAAGCCGACGAUCUCUAGCUGGUCUGAGAGGAUGACCAGCCACACUGGAACUGAGACACGGUCCAGACUCCUACGGGAGGCAGCAGUGGGGAAUAUUGCACAAUGGGGGGAACCCUGAUGCAGCCAUGCCGCGUGAAUGAAGAAGGCCUUCGGGUUGUAAAGUUCUUUCGGUAGCGAGGAAGGURKYAAWKUUAAUAGMWUURUYAAUUGACGUUAACUACAGAAGAAGCACCGGCUAACUCCGU
rnacentral:rRNA from 1 species